CCUACGGGAGGCAGCAGUGAGGAAUAUUGCUCAAUGGGGGAAACCCUGAAGCAGCAACGCCGCGUGGAGGAUGAAGGUUUUCGGAUUGUAAACUCCUUUUGUUAGAGAAGAUAAUGACGGUAUCUAACGAAUAAGCACCGGCUAACUCCGUGCCAGCAGCCGCGGUAAUACGGAGGGUGCAAGCGUUACUCGGAAUCACUGGGCGGAAAGAGCGCGUAGGCGGGAUAGCAAGUCAGAUGUGAAAUCCUAUGGCUUAACCAUAGAACUGCAUUUGAAACUGUUAUUCUAGAGUAUGGGAGAGGUAGGUGGAAUUCUUGGUGUAGGGGUAAAAUCCGUAGAGAUCAAGAGGAAUACUCAUUGCGAAGGCGACCUGCUAGAACAUAACUGACGCUGAUGCGCGAAAGCGUGGGGAGCAAACAGGAUUAGAUACCCCUGUAGUC
rnacentral:rRNA from 1 species